GGGGCUUUGGCUCAGUGGUUAAGAGCACUGACUGCUCUUCCACAGAUCCUGAGUUCAAUUCCCAGCAACCCCA
rfam:Mus musculus chromosome 7, GRC primary reference assembly.